GAUGCUCGAGGGUUAUUUUUGGGGAUUCAGAUUUCUGGUCACCUUCGAUUCUGGGUAUCGAGGUACCAGCCGAUAAAUUUGCCGCCCCCGGGAUUCCAAGCUAUCCCGAGGAUCUAUUUCAAGCACUUCUCCGAGCUACCAAUUCCGGAGAUAAUAAGUAGAGUGCUUUUGACGUUUGAAGUUUCAUUGUCGCAGCUCCCGGCGGGAUUCUUCGUGAUCCUGCGGGGUUUUAUGAACAUAUGCUGGGGAUUGAAUGUUGCUGCGACGGCGAGCUUGUUUCUUCACUUUUACAAGCUCACCAGAGAAAAGUCUGCAUCGGGUCGCUUUGGAUUCACGCGACGACAUUUUGAUAAGAACAUCGUCGAUGAGCUCCCGACGAACUUUGGAUCCAACUGGAAAAGAGAGUUUAUCUUCAUAACCUCUGAGUUUCUCCCUGGGAGCCGGG
rnacentral:lncRNA from 1 species